AUAUUGGUCAAUGGACGCAAGUCUGAACCAGCCAUGCCGCGUGAAGGAUUAAGGCACUCUGGGUUGUAAACUUCUUUUAUAGGGGAAGACAUGUGACGGUUCUCCGUCACUUGACGGUACCCUGGGAAUACGCACCGGCUAACUCCGUGCCAGCAGCCGCGGUAAUACGGAGGGUGCAAGAGUUAUCCGGAUUCACUGGGUUUAAAGGGUGCGUAGGUGGGCAGAUAAGUCAGUGGUGAAAUCUUCCGGCUUAACCGGGAAACUGCCGUUGAUACUAUUUGUCUUGAAUAUUGCGGAGGUAAGCGGAAUAUGUCAUGUAGCGGUGAAAUGCUUAGAUAUGACAUAGAACACCAAUUGCGAAGGCAGCUUACUACACAAUCAUUGACACUGAGGCACGAAAGCGUGGGUAGCGAA
rnacentral:rRNA from 1 species